rnacentral:rRNA from 1 species
UGAACGCUGGCGGUAGGCUUAACACAUGCAAGUCGUGCGAGAAAGUACCUUCGGGUACGAGUAGAGCGGCGGACGGGUGAGUAACGCGUAGGAAUCUACCUAGUAGAAGGGGAUAGCCCGAGGAAACUCGGAUUAAUACCGUAUACCUCCUUAGGGAGAAAGAGGGCUUAGCUUUGAUGCUCUCGCUAUUAGAUGAGCCUGCGUAAGAUUAGCUAGUUGGUGAGGUAAUGGCUCACCAAGGCGACGAUCUUUAGCUGGUCUGAGAGGACGAUCAGCCACAUUGGGACUGAGACACGGCCCAGACUCCUACGGGAGGCAGCAGUGGGGAAUAUUGGACAAUGGGCGCAAGCCUGAUCCAGCCAUACCGCGUGUGUGAAGAAGGCUUUCGGGUUGUAAAGCACUUUAAGUAAGGAGGAAAAGGUUAUAGAUAAUACCUGUAACCCGUGACGUUACUUACAGAAUAAGGACCGGCUAAUUCCGUGCC